ACGGAAGGCAGCAGUGGGGGAUAUUGCACAAUGGGGGAAACCCUGAUGCAGCGACGCCGCGUGAGUGAUGAAGUAUUUCGGUAUGUAAAGCUCUAUCAGCAGGGAAGAAAAUGACGGUACCUGACUAAGAAGCACCGGCUAAAUACGUGCCAGCAGCCGCGGUAAUACGUAUGGUGCAAGCGUUAUCCGGAUUUACUGGGUGUAAAGGGAGCGUAGGCGGCACGGCAAGCCAGAAGUGAAAACCCAGGGCUUAACUCUGGGAUUGCUUUUGGAACUGUCGAGCUAGAUUGCAGGAGAGGUAAGUGGAAUUCCUAGUGUAGCGGUGAAAUGCGUAGAUAUUAGGAGGAACACCAGUGGCGAAGGCGGCUUACUGGACUGUAAAUGACGCCGAGGCUCGAAAGCGUGGGGAGCAAACAGGAUUAGAUACCCUGGUA
rnacentral:rRNA from 1 species